AGUAAUGUGUGUAGCUAACCGAUACUAAUAGCUCGAUUGAUUUACUUUGCUGUGAGAUUACAUAUGCAUAUAGUGUUAAUGCUAUAAGAGUGUAGUAUCAACUCACAAAGUUAUCAGGUUAAAUAGCUUUAUCAACUAAUAAAUUUGCUGAGUAUCGUAGUAAAAGUUAAGAUAUGAUGUUAAGAAUUUUUUUGAGUCGUGCAAUAACAUUAACAGCAAACUAUAAUACAAAUCUAUCUUUUUAAAAGUUUGUAUUGCUAGCUUGGUGGUUAUAGCAUGA
rnacentral:sRNA from 1 species